rnacentral:sRNA from 1 species
GUGCAUAUCAAUAAGCGGAGGAAAAGAAACCAACAGGGAUUGCCCUAGUAACGGCGAGUGAAGCGGCAACAGCUCAAAUUUGAAAUCUGGCGUCUUUGGCGUCCGAGUUGUAAUUUGCAGAGGGCGCUUUGGCAUUGGCAGCGGUCCAAGUUCCUUGGAACAGGACGUCACAGAGGGUGAGAAUCCCGUACGUGGUCGCUAGCCUUUACCGUGUAAAGCCCCUUCGACGAGUCGAGUUGUUUGGGAAUGCAGCUCUAAAUGGGAGGUAAAUUUCUUCUAAAGCUAAAUACUGGCCAGAGACCGAUAGCGCACAAGUAGAGUGAUCGAAAGAUGAAAAGCACUUUGGAAAGAGAGUUAAAAAGCACGUGAAAUUGUUGAAAGGGAAGCGCUUGCAGCCAGACUUGCCUGUAGUUGCUCAUCCGGGUUUUUACCCGGUGCACUCUUCUACAGGCAGGCCAGCAUCAGUUUGGGCGGUUGGAUAAAGGUCUCUGUCAUGUACCUCUCUUCGGGGAGAACUUAUAGGGGAGACGACAUGCAACCAGCCUGGACUGAGGUCCGCGCAUCUGCUAGGAUGCUGGCGUAAUGGCUGUAAGCGGCCCGUCUUGAAACACGGGACCA